CAGCUUCACAGGAAGUGUUGGGGGAGAUGGAGAAGUGACAAGAGAUGGACACAAGUGGUCCAGCCCAGUGAGUCCCAGAGGUACUGCAGCAAUUAAGCAAAGGCUUUGGAAUCUGACAGCCCAGGAAGAAGCCCAGCUUGGCACGUGACUGGAACUGGAACAAAGCGCCUACCAUCCAGCAGGGCACCCAUCACGGCAGGCUGAACGAUCAUUAUCCCUCGACCCUCACUCCUUCCUUCAUUUAUUCACUCAUUCAUUUAUCCAGUGGAUAUGUCAUGGGCCUCUGUUGGCCCUGCUGGGCUCUGGCACAGGGAGAUCAGCUACACACAGAGAGCGUGGCCCGGCCCAGCCUCUCUGGCCUCUCACUUCUUUCCCUUUCCUGAAGUCUGACCACUGACGCAUCACGAGGACCAAGAUAAGCCUCUGAGCCUGGGGCUCCGGUUCCUUCCAAGUGCGGAUGAUAAACCCAGCUGAACUGGCGCUGAUAUGCUGAAGGGAUUAAAGAAGUGAAAGUAAUAGGCAGUUCAAAGAAGUGCUAUUGAAAUGUCAGGGACUUUUUGUUGUUCUUUUAGGCGGUUUUCUAAGUAUGCCCCACCCAUAUAUCCAGAAUUCAUCCACUUUGCCCAAAAUAACAGCUCUGACUCAUCAUCCUGCCCUGAUUCCCAUUGUGCACCACCACCCGACCCCACCCCCGCCCCGCCACCAGUCUGUCCUCCAAGCAGCAGCCAAAGUGAUUUUUUUUUUUUUUUAGAUGUUGGGGGUAGGAGUUUAUUUAUUUACUUUUGCUGUGUUGGGUCUUCGUUUCUGUGCGAUGGCUUUCUCUAGUUGCAGCGAGCGGGGUCUGCUCUUCAUCGCGGUGCGCGGG